GAUGAACGCUGGCGGCGUGCUUAACACAUGCAAGUCGAACGGUGAAGGCGGAGCUUGCUCUGCUGGAUCAGUGGCGAACGGGUGAGUAACACGUGAGCAAUCUGCCCCUGACUCUGGGAUAAGCGCUGGAAGCGGCGUCUAAUACUGGAUACGAGCUGCGAAGGCAUCUUCAGCAGCUGGAAAGAACUUCGGUCAGGGAUGAGCUCGCGGCCUAUCAGCUUGUUGGUGAGGUAACGGCUCACCAAGGCGUCGACGGGUAGCCGGCCUGAGAGGGUGACCGGCCACACUGGGACUGAGACACGGCCCAGACUCCUACGGGAGGCAGCAGUGGGGAAUAUUGCACAAUGGGCGAAAGCCUGAUGCAGCAACGCCGCGUGAGGGACGACGGCCUUCGGGUUGUAAACCUCUUUUAGCAGGGAAGAAGCGAAAGUGACGGUACCUGCAGAAAAAGCGCCGGCUAACUACGUG
rnacentral:rRNA from 1 species